UACGUAGGGUGCGAGCGUUAAUCGGAAUUACUGGGCGUAAAGAGUGCGUAGGCGGAUAUACAAGUUAGAUGUGAAAUACCUGGGCUUAACCUAGGAGGUGCAUUUAAGACUGUAUGUCUAGAGUUUGUCAGAGGGGGGUAGAAUUCCAAGUGUAGCAGUGAAAUGCGUAGAGAUUUGGAGGAAUACCGAUGGCGUAGGCAGCCCCCUGGGAUAAAACUGACGCUGAGGCACGAAAGCGUGGGUAGCAAACAGG
rnacentral:rRNA from 1 species